CCUACGGGGCGCUGCAGUGGGGAAUAUUGGACAAUGGGCGAAAGCCUGAUCCAGCCAUGCCGCGUGUGUGAAGAAGGCCUUCGGGUUGUAAAGCACUUUCAGUGGGGAAGAAAGCCUUGGGGCUAAUACCCUCGAGGAAGGACAUCACCCACAGAAGAAGCACCGGCUAACUCCGUGCCAGCAGUCGCGGUAAUACGGAGGGUGCGAGCGUUAAUCGGAAUUACUGGGCGUAAAGCGCGCGUAGGCGGUCUGAUAAGCCGGUUGUGAAAGCCCCGGGCUCAACCUGGGAACGGCAUCCGGAACUGUCAGGCUAGAGUGCAGGAGAGGAAGGUAGAAUUCCCGGUGUAGCGGUGAAAUGCGUAGAGAUCGGGAGGAAUACCAGUGGCGAAGGCGGCCUUCUGGACUGACACUGACGCUGAGGUGCGAAAGCGUGGGUAGCAAACAGGAUUAGAUACCCGAGUAGUC
rnacentral:rRNA from 1 species